rnacentral:rRNA from 1 species
AAAGACCUCGCGCUAUUGGAGCGGCCGAUGUCCGAUUAGCUAGUUGGUGGGGUAAUGGCCUACCAAGGCUACGAUCGGUAGCUGGUCUGAGAGGAUGAUCAGCCACACUGGGACUGAGACACGGCCCAGACUCCUACGGGAGGCAGCAGUGGGGAAUUUUGGACAAUGGGCGCAAGCCUGAUCCAGCCAUGCCGCGUGAGUGAAGAAGGCCUUCGGGUUGUAAAGCUCUUUCGGCCGGAACGAAAUCGUCCGGGCUAAUACCCCGGAUGGAUGACGGUACCGGAAGAAGAAGCACCGGCUAACUACGUGCCAGCAGCCGCGGUAAUACGUAGGGUGCAGGCGUUAAUCGGAAUUACUGGGCGUAAAGCGUGCGCAGGCGGCUUCUCAAGUCAGAUGUGAAAUCCCCGGGCUUAACCUGGGAACU